AACUGCGCCGGAGGAGGGGUUUCGGCUGACACGUCGGGAUUGGCGGCUGCAGCCAGGGGUCCUCCGACGCUGGGCUUGCGUGAGCGGCGCUCUGCCGGGUGGGGCCGGAGCUGCGGGGAGGGAGUUGGCGCCUAGCGCGCAGCUCCAUCCCCGCCUCUGCAGUGGACUCGGCCGCAGAAUCGGGGUCCCGGGCUCCUGGAACUUGUCCCGCCCAGGCCGCGGCGAGGAGGUCACUCCAGCCGAUCUCUGGACCGCAUUCGUCCCAUUCUCGUCCUCAUGGUGGACAAGAAACUGGUGGUGGUUUUCGGAGGCACAGGUGCCCAGGGUGGCUCCGUGGCCCGCACACUCCUGGAAGAUGGGACAUUCAAGGUUCGAGUGGUGACCCGAAACCCUAGGAAGAAGGCAGCAAAGGAGCUGAGGCUGCAAGGUGCAGAAGUAGUGCAGGGAGACCAAGAUGACCAGGUCAGCAUGGAGCUGGCCCUGAAUGGGGCUUACGCCACCUUCAUCGUGACCAAUUACUGGGAGAGCUGCAGCCAGGAGCAGGAGGUCAAGCAGGGGAAGCUACUCGCUGAUCUGGCCAGGCGCCUGGGCCUCCACUAUGUAGUCUACAGCGGCCUGGAGAACAUCAAGAAGCUGACGGCAGGGAGAUUGGCCGCCGCGCACUUUGACGGCAAAGGGGAGGUGGAGGAAUAUUUCCGGGACAUUGGCGUUCCCAUGACCAGUGUGCGGCUGCCCUGCUAUUUUGAGAACCUCCUCUCCCACUUCUUGCCCCAGAAAGCCCCAGACGGAAAGAGCUACUUGCUGAGCUUGCCCACAGGUGACGUUCCCAUGGAUGGCAUGUCCGUGUCUGACCUGGGUCCUGUGGUGCUCAGCCUUUUGAAGAUGCCAGAAAAAUACGUCGGCCAGAACAUCGGGCUGAGCACUUGCAGGCACACGGCCGAGGAGUACGCUGCCCUGCUCACCAAGCACACCCGCAAGGUCGUGCACGAUGCCAAGGAGCUAACUGGCCACAGAGUGAAAUUUCUGGCUUAGAUGUUUUGACCAAAUAGAGAGAAAAGCUUCCAGGAGGAGAGGGCCAUAGGAGCCAAGAUGACUCCUGAGGACUACGAAAAGCUUGGCUUUCCCGGUGCCCGGGACCUGGCCAACAUGUUCCGUUUCUAUGCCCUGAGACCCGACCGUGACAUCGAGCUGACCCUGAGACUCAACCCCAAGGCCCUGACGCUGGACCAGUGGCUGGAACAGCACAAAGGGGACUUCACCCUGCUGUGACCUGCCCGCCUCGCGGCCCCUUGUGGGGGUCGGGGGCACCAGAGGGGCAGAGGCACCAACAUCUGAAUAAAGCCAUUGUUCUCCCA